ACCUGUGAUGGGCGUCCAUCAGGCGUUCAUGACAACAGACAGAGACCGUGCCUUGGGAAGAUCUGGGCACAUCAGGGUGUU
rnacentral:sRNA from 1 species